CUCCCUCCUAGCCUUGGCAAAGGGAGGUGCAAGGGGAGGGGGUUCAUUAUUUACUGUGAACCUCAGAUGUCAGACGUUAAUAGGCUCAUAGCUAUAGGCCGAAUGACCGACGUUCACGCUCCAGAUAUAUAGAGGUCACUGGUCUUCCCCAGUGAGCUCAAAAUAUCACUGGAGUAAUACCUGAGCUACUCAAACGUUUAAAAUGAAGCCAAAAAUGAAAACAAACUUUGAUAAUUAAUAUCUCGUAAAUGACAAAACGUAUUGAAAAGCGGUUCUUUCCUGAGUUCUUUCCGACUGAGUUCUUUCCGUCUUGAUAAAUUUAUUCGGCAGAUGUUUUCGCUGAUAGAAGCGUUGUUUAUCGUGACAAUAAAAAGAUAAUAAAACAAAUAAAAAGACGGUCGAUCUGAUUUCUAUAUGCCAUCCGCUUGAAUUUCUAAAGCAAAUGCACAGCUGCAUGGUUCAUUCCUGUAUCUUUCUUUGGCGCGAUUGUUCAGCUGUUUUGAUAAGAUUUUUCAGACUUGUCAUCAAAUCUAUGAAAAUAUUUUCCUUUUAAUUCAGACACGGCAAAGACAGAUACCUUUUCCACAAAUUUUCCAAUGAAGGCACUGAAAGGCUGCCUGACAAACCUCGCUCCAGGCCUGUUUUGCACGGUCUUGUUGUUUGCCAAAUUGUGUUGAAAUAUGGUUGAAAAAGCCGUAAAAAUAUCAACAGCGAUACAUUGUUGAAAGCUCUUGUAGACAUAUACAGAGUGGAACCCGCUAACUCGAACUCCCAGGGGAAAAUUGUUCGAGUGGCGAGGGGUCGGUGUUGGAUCCAUUACGGUGCACUCUCAAG